AGCCUAAACCACUGAGUAAUCAGUGGCAUGGUGAAAAGUCCGGUAAAGAUCAACAAACCCAUCAUAUGGGGCUGUCUUUACCGGCCCGUCGGGAAACUGACGUGGAGGGCGAGAGCCCUC
rnacentral:sRNA from 1 species